UUCGGGACGCCGGCGAGUGGCGAACGGGUGAGUAACACGUGGAGACCUGCCCUGAGGUGGGGGAUAACAGCUAGAAAUGGCUGCUAAUACCGCAUACGCCUUACGAGGGAAAGAUUUAUUGCCUCAGGAGGGUUCCGCGUCGGAUUAGCUUGUUGGUGGGGUAACGGCCUACCAAGGCGAUGAUCCGUAGCUGGUCUUAGAGGAUGAUCAGCCACACUGGGACUGAGACACGGCCCAGACUCCUACGGGAGGCAGCAGUGGGGAAUAUUGCGCAAUGGAGGCAACUCUGACGCAGCGAUGCCGCGUGGGUGAAUAAGGCCUUAGGGUUGUAAAGCCCUUUCAGUGGAAAGAUGAUGACGGUACCCACAGAAGAAGCCCCGGCUAACUCCGUGCCAGCAGCCGCGGUAAUACGGAGGGGGCGAGCGUUGUUCGGAAUUAUUGGGCGUAAAGAGCGCGUAGGCGGUUUAUUAAG
rnacentral:rRNA from 1 species